UCCAGCAAGCCUUUUUUUCAACCUUUGACCUCGGAUCAGGUAGGGAUACCC
rnacentral:rRNA from 2 species